rnacentral:rRNA from 1 species
CCAUGCAUGUCUAAGCAUCAGCGAAUGUACUGUGAAACUGCGAAUGGCUCAUUAAAUCAGUUAUGGUUUAUUUGAUGGAUCCCUACUACUUGGAUACCCGUAGUAAUUCUAGAGCUAAUACAUGCAGGAAUCCCCCACUCUCGGGAGGGGGUGUUUAUAUAAUAAAAAACCCAUCCGCCUCGGCGGUUGUGUGCUGAGUUAUAAAAACUGUUGGAAUCGCAUGGCUUUGCGUUGGGGAUGGUACAUUCCAUUUUCUGCCCUAUCAUCUUUCCAUGGUAUGAUAGAGGCCUACCCUGGCGUGUACGGGAAACGGAAAAUUAAGGUUCGAUUCCGGAGAGGGAGCCUGAGAAAUGGCUACCCUAUCCCAUGAAGGGAGCAGGGGCGUAAAUUGCCCAAAUCCUGACACAGGGAGGAAGGGACAAAAAAUAACUAUACAGGGCCAGCUUGCUCUUGCAAGUGUAAUGAGUACAAUUUACCUCUCUCCACUAGGAUCGAUUGGAGGGCAAGCAUGGGGGCAGCUGCCACGGGAAUUCCUUCUCCAUCACCUAAUAUAAAUUCUGGUGCUGCCAAAACGCUCGCUCGCGGAUUUCUGGGCGGGCCUGCCGGCCUGCCCUUCGGUACGUGCUGGAGUGCGCGUCCUUCCUUUCGGAGACCGCGCCUCCUCUUUUCUGUGCGGGCGCGGGAGACGGAUCGACUUACUUUGAAUCACUCUGAGUGGUUCUCACCGAUAGUCCAUGCAUGUCUAAGCAUCAGCGAAUGUACUGUGAAACUGCGAAUGGCUCAUUAAAUCAGUUAUGGUUUAUUUGAUGGAUCCCUACUACUUGGAUACCCGUAGUAAUUCUAGAGCUAAUACAUGCAGGAAUCCCCCACUCUCGGGAGGGGGUGUUUAUAUAAUAAAAAACCCAUCCGCCUCGGCGGUUGUGUGCUGAGUUAUAAAAACUGUUGGAAUCGCAUG